rnacentral:rRNA from 1 species
CGGUGCUUGCACUGGUCAAUCUAGUGGCGAACGGGUGAGUAACACGUGGGUAACCUGCCCAUCAGAGGGGGAUAACAUCCGGAAACGGAUGCUAAAACCGCAUAGGUCUUCGAGCCGCAUGGCUUGAAGAGGAAAAGAGGCGCAAGCUUCUGCUGAUGGAUGGACCCGCGGUGCAUUAGCUAGUUGGUGAGGUAACGGCUCACCAAGGCAGUGAUGCAUAGCCGACCUGAGAGGGUGAUCGGCCACAUUGGGACUGAGACACGGCCCAAACUCCUACGGGAGGCAGCAGUAGGGAAUCUUCCGCAAUGGACGCAAGUCUGACGGAGCAACGCCGCGUGAGUGAAGAAGGUUUUCGGAUCGUAAAACUCUGUUGUUAGAGAAGAACAAGUGCUAGAGUAACUGUUAGCGCCUUGACGGUAUCUAACCAGAAAGCCACGGCUAACUACGUGCCAGCAGCCGCGGUAAUACGUAGGUGGCAAGCGUUGUCCGGAUUUAUUGGGCGUAAAGCGAGCGCAGGCGGUUCCUUAAGUCUGAUGUGAAAGCCCCCGGCUCAACCGGGGAGGGUCAUUGGAAACUGGGGAACUUGAGUGCAGAAGAGGAGAGUGGAAUUCCAUGUGUAGCGGUGAAAUGCGUAGAUAUAUGGAGGAACACCAGUGGCGAAGGCGACUCUCUGG